rnacentral:tRNA from 1 species
ACCGGGCUGGCUCAAUCAUUAGAGCAUGUGACUCUUGAUCUCAGGUUGAGGGUUCAAGCCCCAUGUUGGGCA